rnacentral:rRNA from 1 species
AUGGGCCUCAAGCCCGGCUCCCGCGUCCACGUCGCCGUCGAGCCCGACCGCCUCAGCGCCCUUCCGGACGCGCUCCUGCACCACAUCAUGUCGUCCCUCAAGGCGUGGGAGGCGGUGCGCACCUGCAUGCUCGUGCGGCGGUGGCUCCACCUCUGGGCGUCCGCGCCCUGCGUCGACCUCCGCGUGCGCCACUCCUCCGGCCGCGACGCCGACCCGCCGAGGAGUUCCGCCACUUCGUGCAUCGCCUCUUCCUCCUCCGCGACGCGUCGGCGCCCGUGGGCACGCUCUGCCUGCGGUCCGGCGACGAGGACGCGGGCUAUGACGAGGACGACGCCAGCGCGUGGAUCAGGGCCGCCAUCAACCGUAACGCGCGGGUCAUCCAUCUCGCCGGGCAUCGCUCGGAGAUCGCGUCUUUGGACCGCGUGCAGUUCAUAUCCAGCCACCUCAAGGUGCUGA